GACGUAGGGCGCGAGCGUUUGUCCGGAUUUAUUGGGCGUAAAGAGCUCGUAGGCGGCCUGUUGCGUCCGCUGUGAAAGCCCGGGGCUUAACCCCGGGUCGGCAGUGGAUACGGGCAGGCUAGAGGUAGGUAGGGGAGAAUGGAAUUCCCGGUGUAGCGGUGAAAUGCGCAGAUAUCGGGAGGAACACCAAUUGCGAAGGCAGCUCGCUGGGACGUCACUGACGCUGAGACGCGAAAGCGUGGGGAGCAAACAGG
rnacentral:rRNA from 1 species